CUCACAAAGCCGAGUAGAGGCGGGUACCCUGUCUAGCAGCUGGAGGAGGAAGGGGAGCAGCAGUCGGGAUAAGACAGCUGGUUCUGCAAAAACAUUGGAAUCUUAGCUGCUCACUUGUUGGCCUCCAGUUCAGUCAAGAUGUUGCUGAGAUCCAGCGUGGGGAGGUGCCGAAGCAAAAACUCAAAGGUUUCUUGGCAGCCCCAGAACUUUUCCAGCAGGACACGCAGCAGGCACACCAGCCCUCUGUUACCCUGGAUGAAGACACAACUAUCUUGAGGCUGCGCUCCCGACACGUGCUGAACAAGGCUGGCGAAGACAGAGGCUUCACGCCGUACUUCCGGAUCCUCAUCUUGUAGCAGGCUGAGUGAAAUGCAGAGAGUAAAUCAACAGUACUUUAUAGCAAAAAGGAGCUGAGGCUUUCAUGUGUUAGCAGCAGCAGCAGCAGCACAGUCCCUCAGAGGGCACGAAGGGCCGGGCACUGAGCAGAGCAAUGGCCUUGCUCCUAUGGAGGUUGACUGAUGGAAGGACACCCAUGUGUGCACCCCAUGGCCCUGCUAGGAAGAAGCAGCUAUUACUCACUGAAAAGCUGGAUGGCUGCAUUUCUCAUGGC